rnacentral:rRNA from 1 species
UACGUAGGGGGCAAGCGUUGUCCGGAUUUACUGGGCGUACAGGGAGCGUAGGCGGUUCGGUAAGCCCUCUGUGAAAUCUUCAGGCUUAACCUGGAAAAGUCGGAGGGGACUGCUGGGCUAGAGGACGGGAGAGGAGCGCGGAAUUCCCGGUGGUAGCGGUGAAAUGCGUAGAGGUCGGGAAGAACAUCGGUGGCGAAGGCGCUCUACUGGACCACAACUGACACUCAGGGACGAAAGCUAGGGGAGCGAAUGGG